AGCAGCCGCGGUAAUUCCAGCUCCAAUAGCGUAUAUUAAAGUUGUUGCAGUUAAAAAGCUCGUAGUUGAACUUCGGGGUUUACUCAUUGGUCAGGCUUAAUUGUCUGUACUGGUGAGAUGAAUCUCUACCUUCUGAGGAACUUUCAUGCCAUUUAUUUGGUGUGAUUGGAAAUCAGGACUGUUACUUUGAAAAAAUUAGAGUGUUUAAAGCAGGCUAACGUCUGAAUACAUUAGCAUGGAAUAAUGAAAUAGGACGGAUUGAUUCUAUUUCGUUGGUUUCUAGGGUCACCGUAAUGAUUAAUAGGGAUAGUUGGGGGCGUUAGUAUUCAAUUGUCAGAGGUGAAAUUCUUAGAUUUAUUGAAGACUAACUACUGCGAAAGCAUUUGCCAAGGAUGUUUUCAUUAAUCAAGAACGAAAGUUAGGGGAUCGAAGACGAUCAGAUACCGUCGUAGUCUUAACCAUAAACUAUGCCGACUAGGGAUCGGACGAAGUUAAUUAAUAAUGACGCG
rnacentral:rRNA from 1 species